rnacentral:misc_RNA from 1 species
CUGAGUUCUACAACUCCCACCCUGUGUGAACAUACUACAGUUGCCUCGGCGAGGUGCCACACCUCGCCGGCGGACCACUAAACUCUGAUUUAUCCACUGUAUCUCUGAGUCAUAUAACGAAAUACGUUA